rnacentral:rRNA from 1 species
AGUGAACGUUGGCGGCGUGGAUUAGGCAUGCAAGUCGAGCGAGAACCGUAGCAAUACGGGGACAGCGGCGAAAGGGACAGUAAUGUGUAGGUACCUACCUCCGGGUUCGGGAUAGCUGCGGGAAACUGCAGGUAAUACCGAAUAACGUCUCCGGAUCAAAGGUGUGAUUCCACCUGGAGAGGGGCCUGCAUCCUAUUAGCUAGUUGGGGAGGUAACGGCUCACCAAGGCGACGAUGGGUAGCGGGUGUGAGAGCACGACCCGCGUCAUUGGGACUGAGACACUGCCCAGACACCUACGGGUGGCUGCAGUCGAGGAUCUUCGGCAAUGGGCGCAAGCCUGACCGAGCGACGCCGCGUGCGGGAUGAAGGCCUUCGGGUUGUAAACCGCUGUCGUAGAGGAGGAAAUGCAGGGGGGUUCUCCCCUCUGUUUGACCUAUUCUAGGAGGAAGGACGGGCUAAGUUCGUGCCAGCAGCCGCCGUAA